UCCGCCUUGUAAUUUGCUGCUUCUCACAUACUCUUUAUUGUUUUAUUUUACUAAACAGUGUGUGUUUGUACAAGAGAGAGAGAAAAUCACACACUCGUACAACGAUUGCUCAGUUACAUCAUCUGCACUCAUCGAAACAGUGGCGGAGCCACCGCCCAGCUACCUGGGCAGUUGCUCAGGCUGAGCUUGCAAUCUGUUCUUUAAAAGAAUGGCAAGGAUGAACAAAAUUCAGCUUUUUCAUGGACAAAUCACCAAAUAGGUGUCGGCCAUUAGGAGCCUUCAUAUGUUGCUCAGGUUAUCACAUUGAGCUGGCUCCGCCACUGCAUCCAAAUGGCCAAAUUCAGGCAUCACUCACAGCGUUCUUCACAACGACGGUACUCAUGGUGCUUAUAUUCGUGAAAACUCUGAAUAGACAAGCAUCACCAAGGUUGCAAUAGCCUUCUUAUGUCUUGCCUUGUCGAGUUGAUGGGGUUCUCUAAACACGCUGAGCAGUUGCAUAACCGUACUUGCAGCUCGCUGGAUUCAAAAUAACCAUUGCUCAAACAUGAGAAAUAUCGAAUCUCUUAUUAAUGUUUUGUAUGGCAUUGCCACGCCUUGAAGGGAAUUCAUAGCUGGAAUCUUGAUUUAGGGACUGAAAAAUAAAAUUGAAGUGCAAUUUUUGAACAUAGCUUAACAAUGUGCAGGACGUUAGCAAAGCCAGCGGACCAACACGUCGACACCGGCCAAUAAGCACCGAACUAAUUAAGGAUUUAAGAACACUUGUCGUCGCCGACCUGUGCAAUGAACCAUGCAUAGAACAAGUGCGGGUUUAUUGGAUCUGCGCCUCCACGAAAGUGAUGGAGACAGGGACGUCGCAACCAACUAAAAUCUCUCGGAAAUGUUAUGCGUCAUCAGUCACACACUAAACUAGUGAUGGCCACAUCUGUUGUCGUCAAAAGCUAAAUCUUUCGAUUGGCACACAACUGCUGCUGUCUUGUUUUGCUCGGACAUACAUUCGUCGACGUCAUGUGUAUAACCGAAGCACUUACCAACAGUGGAUGCUUACCACAUACAUAUACUCACUGAGACGUACACAUGACAUACUGAUCAGUGAUUACUGAACAAAC
rnacentral:lncRNA from 1 species